CACCGGGGACCGUGAGAGAGCCCUUAAAAUGGUCUGCAUCUAACCACAAAGCUUCUUCAAGCAAGUGAAGUAGAGGCCAGGUACCUAUUUUAGUCUGGGCAAAAUUUAUCUACUGUUCAGACUCAUUGGGUUUUAUUGUAAAUGUGUGAAAGAUCUAAUAAUUGGAAAUGUUGAUGCAGGAAUAUAUACGCCCAGACUCUACACAGAUUAUUGAAAGUAAUUUGUAAAUUCCAUCAAAUAUUAAUAAAAGGAAAAUGGGUAAUAAGUCAGAUGCAGCAAGCAGUGGGGGGUGUGGGGGGAAAGGUCAAUAAAUUGAUGGGCAUGAAGAAGAGUUGAGAUGUAUUAGAGGAAAGAGAUUAAAGCACUAUAGCACUGGAAUUCAUGUUUGGGUGUGGAGAUUAAAGGUUUAAAACUUAUCUUUUCUCCCACGCUGUACCUGUCUAGCUGCGGCUGGCCCCAACUGGUUCACCUCCAUGAGAUGACUGAGGUCAUCA